UCGGCCUCGUCGUCCUGCCGCAGAUCUAGGCGCCCUAUUUCAUCAGCUCAUCGAACGGGGGAACCAAACCGGCUUGCUGGUGUGGAUUGGACAUUCAUUUCCCCCUCCUUCAAAGAAAAUCGCAGCUCCCUCCGGCGUAGAGAAAGAAAGAUAGAGAGAAAAACAAACAAACUGUAGCGAGAGGGUGGCCGGCCGGCCGUGUCGCGCGCAGCUGCAGCAGCCUUGCAGCGGAGGAGGAAGCCAGGAGCUCUGGGGGGAAGGAAGCGCAUGGAGGAGAGAGUGAAAAGUGGAGGCGAAGUUGAGGAGGAAGAGACGAGGGUAGCAGAAAGGAGGCUUGUGGUGUCCCCACCCCCGAGUUGAGGGGAAGCGAGGGGUGGUGGGAGGAGGAGGAUCUCCUCUCACGUCAAAGGUGGGGGAAAGCAUAAAGGCUGAGGGAGGAGGUGGAGGUGGAAGAGAAGGUGGGGAGAGGGGGCAGCUACACAGGCCCAAAGCAGGGGUAAGUGGAGGAAAGCGAGCUGCAGGGAAGAAAGGCAGGCAAGCUUCGCAGCGAGAGCAAGGGAUACUGAGCUCGUGUGAGUGAGUGAUAAGUAGCCGAGCUGAGAGCAUCCGGUUCUUGCUCCACCACCACUACCACAUUGCUCCUCUCCCUUUCCACUUCAUUGCCCAUCCACUAUAUUUAGAGUGUCAGUGGAGCCGAAGAAGAGGAGGAGGAGGUGGUGCCCUGCUCUGCCAAGCCAUGGCAUUGCAAGAACAAGGCGGAGAGGAGGACGGGGAUGAAGACGAAGACGCUGAAGAGGAGGAUUGGAUGACGAAGAGGGUGCUGGGGAGCUGAUCGAUUUCUCCCCUGGCACCGAGGCGUUCGUGGUGUCUGCUCUGGAGUAGUAAGAUAUUGGCACAAUAGGCUCAAUCACUUUUUCUUUCUUUUCUUCCUUUUAUUUCCCCCGGCCCUUGUUUUGCUGUUUUUGCUCUUCUUUCCACUCUCUUGGAUCCAUUGAUUGCAUACUCUUCCCCGUGUAAUUUUCUUCUUGGUCCUGUGCUACCGCUAUUGGUGUUUUCCCUGAUUCGGAAUGGAAGGGGAAAAGGAGUUUGGCGACACAAAA